UACAGAGGGUGCAAGCGUUGUUCGGAAUUAUUGGGCGUAAAGGGCGCGUAGGCGGUGCCACAAGUCACCUGUGAAAUCUCCGGGCUUAACUCGGAGCCUGCAGGCGAAACUGUGGUGCUGGAGUGUGGGAGAGGUGCGUGGAAUUCCUGGUGUAGCGGUGAAAUGCGCAGAUAUCAGGAGGAACACCAAUGGCGAAGGCAGCUCGCUGGGACGGUACUGACGCUGAGACGCGAAAGCUAGGGGAGCGAAUGGG
rnacentral:rRNA from 1 species